CAGAGGGUGCGAGCGUUAAUCGGAAUUACUGGGCGUAAAGCGCGCGUAGGCGGCUUUGCAAGUCGGGUGUGAAAUCCCCAGGCUUAACCUGGGAACUGCAUUCGAGACUGCAUUGCUAGAGUAUGGGAGAGGGAAGUGGAACUUCAGGUGUAGCGGUGAAAUGCGUAGAUAUCUGAAGGAACAUCAGUGGCGAAAGCGACUCCCUGGACCAGUACUGACGCUCAUGUGCGAAAGCGUGGGGAGCAAACAGGAUUAGAUACCCUGGUAGUCCACGCCAUAAACGAUGAGAACUGGUUGUCGGGAGGGUCUGCCUCUCGGUGUCGUAGCUAACGCGUUGAGUUCUCCGCCUGGGGAGUACGGCCGCAAGGUUG
rnacentral:rRNA from 1 species